rnacentral:lncRNA from 1 species
UCGAACCUCUUCUUAGUCUCCUUGGCGGCAGUCACCUUCUUGUCUUUUGACUGCAAUGAAUCAAUAGUGACAACGUCUUUAAGAUCGACAUCGAGAGUGUACCUUGUGGGCAUCAGGUGCCUGUAGUUGACGAGCUUGACAAAGGCCUUGACUCGAGAUUUUUUGGCGGUUUUCUUGGCGGAGUCCUUGCGGAUGACCUUGGCCGGGUACUUCUUGAUUCCAGCGACUAAACAGUGGCCAUAAGCACGAUCCCGGGUACCGUCGUCAAAGGCGCGAACGAUGACCGCCUUCCGACCGGCGUAACGGCCUUGGAGGACGAUGACGGCUUUGUUGGGCUUGAGGAAUUUCACCAUUUUCGGAUUUCUCCUCCACUCUGUACUUCCCCUUCUAUGACGGCUCUUCUUCAACAAGAGAGGGGGCGUAGAUUUAGGUUAUCUCAACAUAUUGGGUUUUAGGGCAUUUUCAACUGAGAUUGGGCCCCAAUUAAAAUGGGCCUUCCUACUGCACUGGGCCAUACUUGAAAUUAGGCCGAAGUAUUAGCAAAAAAAAAAAAUAUGCUUAUUUUGUUUUUAAUUGUUAUGCAACUGUUCGAGACCAGGAAGACCGAGUUUUGUAUUUUAAUAUUAAUUUUGAAAUAUUAUAUUAUAAUAUAUUAAAUAAUAUUUUAUUACUAUUGAAUUCUACUUCAUAAUAGUACGUGUAUUCCUUUCAAAAUUUCAAAAUUUUGAGUUCAAAUCUUAUCUACAACAUCUUUAAAUGGUAUACGUUGCUUUCUUGCUAUUAAGUUGGUGAUUCCUGUUGUGGUAUGAUCCGUUUGAUCUAAUUUUUUGCUAAGGGGUUAAAUUUUGCUAUGAAAGAAGGCUCCCAGAGACUUACUUACCUACAUCAUUUGAUGAUUUGCUGUCCAUUUUUUUUGUAGUUAAAAGUUUUGCAUUCAUGUUUUGUUCUGAUUUGUUGGAAUUGGAAGGCAUUCUCCACAAACCCCCUUUGUGUGAUGACUUGAACGGUAUUAUUGAUAUUAGCUCUUAAUAUCUUUGGAAUAGUGUGCUUUAGCCUUUACCUUCUCAUAGCUGUUAUCUAGUUUGCUUUUUAUUUUCUUUCUUUUAUUGGAUCAAGUUACUCAGCUACUGGGUUUUGGUCCUCUUGUUCUUAUGUUCCAUUCUUGUUGAGGUCUCUGUUUUCUAUUUAACCUAAGUAUCUCACUAGGUUGUUUUGAGAUAUGCAACGAGGUGGAAAUUUGUGAUUGGGGUCAAUUAGAUGGUCUUCAGCUGAUGACCUCUUUUUUCCUCUUCUUUAUUUUGAGAAUGAUUAAUCAAUAAUCUUAUUUUGUUCAUGCACCCAAUUCGCUUUUUGAUGCUUCACGAUAUGAGGUUUUUUUUGUCAAAAUGUCUUGGAAGAAGUGGGGAUGGAUGAAGAUAUCCCUUUAAUUGUUUGUUAGGGAAGAGGUAGGUUUCAGUUCACUGCUAUGCUAUGUUACUUUAAUUAUUGCAUUAUAAAACUUAAUUCCCAGACAACGGAAAUGAAAAAGUUUUAACUCUUUUCUUUAUCCUUCGAGUUGUGCUUACAUGUGUUUGCUUUGAAAAAAUUUUGGAUGUGGUUUUCUGUUAGCGGGUCACACAUCUUUUAGUGAUAUAUUUAAGGAGUUCUUUCUCCGUCGGUCGCUUUCAAGAAGAGGGAUUUUGUAAAGACCCUAGAUAGGAAAAUAGUGGAUUACUGGUAGAAAAUGUAGAAAAUAAAAAUAGUAGUUAACAAACAUAUUAGUAAAUAGUUAGUAAGUUGGUUACAUCUUUUUGUUAUAUAUAGUAUGGGAGAGGGGUUGAAAAGAGGUGUGAAGAAUUUUGAAGAAAUAUUUCCUUGUAAGGGAACCUUGAGAAAGUCCAGCCCUCUCAAAAGGCUAGGAUUACUUGUUCUUAUGAUCUUCUAGUAUAUAUUUCAUAUUUGAAUGUUCUGUUAAGAGUUAUUGAGUUCAUCUUAUUUUAUUGAGAUAAUUCUGGUUAGGUGAGAUCCUAACAAAUUAGUAUCAGAGCUGUAACAUUUUGUGGAUGACACAGGUUAUGUGUAGAAACAAAACAGAGGAGAGGUUGGAAAAGAAUGAAGACAUUAGGGAGCUUAAAUAUUUAGAGUUGUCCAAAAGAGUUGAAAGGAUGGCAGAGGAAUUACGAGAAAAUAGUGUUCAUCAUCUACGAAAAGAAUCUAGUAUGUCGAAGAAAGUUGAAAGGAUGGCAGAGGAAUUACGAGAAAAUAGUGUUCAUCAUCUACGAAAAGAAACUAGUAUGUCGAAGAAAUUUGUGUUGAAAAGUAAAGGAAGGAUGGAAGAAAGCACGGGCACGAUUGAGAAAGGGACUUGGGAGUAAACACCUAAAUGCGCUGUGGUUGAAAGAGGAGAGACUCUAUGAAUAUGGGAGUAGAUGCAGAAAUGGAUUGUAGAUUGCAAAGAGAAGAAUACAUAGGCAUGCUAUAUCAAUGCAUCAAAAGCUUUCUAAAGGGCUGCAAAGUGAUAAAGAAAGAGAGGGGAAGAAACUAGCAAAAAUCAAAGUUAGAGAAAAAGAGAAAUGGAAAAAUGACUUGAAGAUGAAGGAAUCAAAAAAACGAGCAUGAAAAAAAUGGAGGAAAGAGGAAGCCAAAUCUAAUUGUACAUUCUUAUGACCAACGAUGAAAGGUGAAGUGGUCGGAGACAAAUACUGAGUGGAAAUGGAAACACUAAACAUAGGAGGCAGAAGCAUGGGAGAAGAGACGGUUACUAUUGACGAGAAGGGAAAGUGUAUGAAAAAUGAAUGAUUGAGAGAGUUAUCCCUGACCCUACAAGAAAAUGAAAAUCUCUCAAUGCAUGAGAUAUAGUCUUUUACGUAUAAUUUAACUGUAAGAUUAUAUGAACGUUUUUAGAAUUUCAAAUUAACAUCAGGCAUUCAUAAAACCAUAUACCAAAAUAAUAUAAUCAACUACAAAAACGAAAUAGACCACACACAACAAAAUAUAAUGUUUAUUUCAUCUAACUUUGAAGAUUUUCAAACCCAGACAGAGCACAGGACCAACCGGUCCUAAACCAACUCGAACUGAACUCAGAUUCCACCAAAACAACAAUAAAUUACUUUUGAGUUGUAAGUUUAAAUAAACGUGACUAAAUUGCUCCAUAGAUUUAAUUAAGGUAUCGUAUUCCCCUCUAGGCCAUCACCAAGACCUAAACAUGGCAUGCAUUCAAUGCAUUGGUAGAAUAUUCCGAGACAGGGAAAUAAAAUGCAAUAGAAAAUUCACAAUAAAUUGAUUAACCAAUGCAAUAGAAACUAUUGAAAUAGCAGACGGAUACAGCAACUAAUCAGUCUAAUCUCUGAUUAACAAAGACAAAAUGUUUGAGAAGAUGAGCGCAAGCAAAGCAUAGAUGAUAUUGAAACUUACACAGAGCAAAGUUACCAGUUGAAGUAACAUGGUAUCCAAAUAGUAGAACAAAUUUUUCAUCAUGCAUUAGAUCUGAAAACAGUAGAACAAAUUUUUCAUCUUUCUACUAUGUGUUAUUCAGAGAUCAGGGACAGGUAGAUGUGAUCCAUCAAAUAAGGGUACAUAACCAAUAUCGAUAUUUGUUCAUCAACAUGUAAUUAGACUUCAACUAUAGCAUAGUUAAAAUAAAAAAAUAAAUUGAAAUUGUGUGUAAUUAGACAUCAAUUAUAACAUAGUUAAAAUACAAAAAGAAAUCCUAAAUUAUUUUUCAGGAGUAUAUCAUAUUUAGUUUAACAAACUCGCGAAAAUCCCAAUGGGAGCUAACAUCUUUCAAACCUAAAAUAAAAAUCAAACCCUAAACCACAAACCAUAAAUGAAUUUUUCACAAAAAAAAAAGAAAAAAAAGAAAAAAAAUGUGAGUUUCAUCCAAACUCAAGGUCGACAAACAGGGAUUAGAGACUCAAAUGCUCCGUACCCUUGCCCAAAACAAGAACACAACCUCUGCUCAACAUCCAUCAUGGUCAUAUAUAUUAUUUUUUAAAAGAAAUCCUGACCAAAAUUUGAAACCUCACAAUGACAGCUUCAGGAAAUCUAUUUGCAAAAAAAAUAUCCCUCAGAAUUGAUACUUCUCACCAGUAAGACUCAGUCCACUACUUUUAUAAUUCCAAUCAAUCAUCAUAGGGAUAUAAAUUUCAAUACCUAUUUUUUUCAGAUAUAAAUCAUUAAUAUUCAAUGUAAAAUCCGGAACUACGGACAAAUAUACCAGAGAUUGAAGGCUUAAUUCAUCGAUUAAAAAAAAAAAAUAUAUAUAUAUAUAUAUAUAAAAACCCAGAAGCCAUCUCAGAAGGAAAGGUAAUUCAAGCAGUAUAUCUAAAAACUCAUUAAGAUCGUAACAAAUUUGUAAAGGAAGAAGGGAAUGCUUGGAAUUUCAAGACGUUUCAAGAGCAUUCUGGUUGAAACGAAAAAAGAUCGAAGACUUCAAAACAAGACAGCCGGCCGGUAAACAAAAGGGAUGGAAACGUUUAAAGGAACUCCACUCAAUCAUAAGCAAAUACUCAGACAUCAAAUAUUUAAAAGUAUACAGAUACAUAAGUUGCAUUGCAUAAUCUACAUCUCGUAAAGCGGUUUUCACUUUAAAACGAAGAAGAAAAAUAUAUGAAUACCAAAACCAUCACAUAAUAUCAGAAAAAUAUAUGAAUCUAUAUAAAUGCAAGUCUCAAAUGUAUCAUUAUAACCAUAGAGAUUUCUCAUCCAAGCAUUCAAAGUACGUCCAGACAAAAAUUAAACACCAAAACAAACUACAUUAGUAAGAUAGAACGUACGAUAACUCGAAAACAAAAAAUCAAAUUGCUCAAUAACCUAAUACGAGAGUAAUCCAGAAGAAACCAGUAACUGAAUGAGCUACUUCAGAAUCUGAGCUUAGUGAAAAACCACCUGUUCUUCCCGGUUUUGAACCUUUCCUCGAACCUCUUCUUGGUCUCUUUGGCGGCGGUGACCUUUUUGUCCUUUGACUGCAACGAAUCGACAGUGACAACAUCUUUAAGAUCGACAUCGAGAGUGUACCUAGUGGGCAUCAGAUGCCUAUAAUUAACGAGCUUAAUGAAGGCCUUGACACGGGAUUUUUUAGCGGUCUUCUUGGCGGAGUCCUUGCGGAUAACCUUGGCCGGGUACUUCUUGAUUCCAGCGACUAAGCAGUGGCCAUAAGCGCGAUCCCGAGUUCCAUCGUCGAAGGCGCGAAUGAUGACCGCCUUCCGGCCGGCGUAACGGCC